UCAUCUUCCAGCAAUGGCGAUUGUGUAGGUGCUGCAUGGUUGUCGGUCAGCUCGUGCCGUGAGGUGUCGGCUUAAGUGCCAUAACGAGCGCACCCUUAUCGUUAGUUGCCAGCGGGUGAUGCCGGGAACUCUAGCGAGACUGCCACCGUAAGGUGUGAGGAAGGUGGGGAUGACGUCAAAUCAGCACGGCCCUUACGUCCGGGGGCGACACACGUGUUACAAUGGGGGGUACAGAGGGUUGCUACCAGGUGACUGGAUGCUAAUCUCUAUAAAGCCUCUCUCAGUUCGGAUCGGAGUCUGCAACUCGACUCCGUGAAGCUGGAUUCGCUAGUAAUCGCGCAUCAGCCAUGGCGCGGUGAAUACGUUCCCGGGCCUU
rnacentral:rRNA from 1 species